CAGGCCUAACACAUGCAAGUCGAGCGGAUGAGAGGAGCUUGCUCCUCGAUUCAGCGGCGGACGGGUGAGUAAUGCCUAGGAAUCUGCCUAGUAGUGGGGGACAACGUUUCGAAAGGAACGCUAAUACCGCAUACGUCCUACGGGAGAAAGUGGGGGAUCUUCGGACCUCACGCUAUUAGAUGAGCCUAGGUCGGAUUAGCUAGUUGGUAGGGUAAAGGCCUACCAAGGCGACGAUCCGUAACUGGUCUGAGAGGAUGAUCAGUCACACUGGAACUGAGACACGGUCCAGACUCCUACGGGAGGCAGCAGUGGGGAAUAUUGGACAAUGGGCGAAAGCCUGAUCCAGCCAUGCCGCGUGUGUGAAGAAGGCCUUCGGGUCGUAAAGCACUUUAAGUUGGGAGGAAGGGCUCAUAGCGAAUACCUGUGAGUUUUGACGUUACCAACAGAAUAAGCACCGGCUAACUUCGUGCCAGCAGCCGCGGUAAUAAU
rnacentral:rRNA from 1 species